CCUACGGGGAGCAGCAGUGAGGAAUAUUGGUCAAUGGACGCAAGUCUGAACCAGCCAUGCCGCGUGCAGGAAGACGGCUCUAUGAGUUGUAAACUGCUUUUGUACGAGGGUAAACGCAGAUACGCGCAUCUGACUGAAAGUAUCGUACGAAUAAGGAUCGGCUAACUUCGUGCCAGCAGCCGCGGCAAUACGGAGGAUUCAAGCGUUAUCCGGAUUUAUUGGGUUUAAAGGGUGCGUAGGCGGUCAGGUAAGUUAGAUGUGAAAUCCCGAGGCUCAACUUCGGAAUUGCCUCUGAUACUGUUCGGCUAGAGAAUAGGUGCGGUAGGCGGAAUGUAUGGUGUAGCGGUGAAAUGCUUAGAGAUAA
rnacentral:rRNA from 1 species